AUGUCGAGGUCGAGUUCCCGGC
rnacentral:miRNA from 1 species